UCAUCAGAGUCAAGUUCCAGCUCAUCUUGAAAAUCUUCAAGCAGCGACGAUGAGGAUAGGGGUUCAAGGAAGUCCAGAUCACAGUCAAGAUCAAAGAGAACAAGGAAGGAAAAGAAGAGCCAGUCAAGGUCCAAGCGCAGAGGCAGUGAAAGCGAGGAGGAAGGCCCGGUUGAGCGAGCCGUUUACCAUGGUGUUCUCAAUAUGAUGCUCAGCUGUUAAGAGGGUCUGGUCAAGUUGUGUGGCUUC